rnacentral:rRNA from 1 species
GACGAACGCUGGCGGCGUGCUUAACACAUGCAAGUCGAACGGUAAGGCCCUUCGGGGUACACGAGUGGCGAACGGGUGAGUAACACGUGGGUGAUCUGCCCUGCACUUCGGGAUAAGCCUGGGAAACUGGGUCUAAUACCGGAUAGGACCACUGCCUGCAUGGGUGGUGGGGGAAAGCUUUUGCGGUGUGGGAUGGGCCCGCGGCCUAUCAGCUUGUUGGUGGGGUGAUGGCCUACCAAGGCGACGACGGGUAGCCGGCCUGAGAGGGUGACCGGCCACACUGGGACUGAGAUACGGCCCAGACUCCUACGGGAGGCAGCAGUGGGGAAUAUUGCACAAUGGGCGCAAGCCUGAUGCAGCGACGCCGCGUGAGGGAUGACGGCCUUCGGGUUGUAAACCUCUUUCGGCACCGACGAAGCGCAAGUGACGAUAGGUGCAGAAGAAGGACCGGCCAACUACGUGCCAGCCGCCGCGGUAAUAC